GUUAAAUCUUGGUUGCAACUGUGAUUCUGAUCAAGGGCUGGACUGGGAGAAAAAAAAAAUCAGCCCUGGAAUUUUGGCCAAGGCCGGACCACUAUCGAUCAAUGGAUCACACCCCACCCAUCUCCACGCUCCCCUACAGAAGUUGUUAGUUAACCUUUUUGAAAUACUGCCAACCGCUGCCUUCCCUCUGUACUUGAGCCAGUGUCACCGGCGUACAGCAGCAAUCAGGCAUAAAAGGACCCAGCAGAGACAUAACGCUCAGAGCUGAGUGACACUGUUCGGGUGGAAGAUAGAUUUAAGCACACAGAGGAGAGAAUGGCUGAACUUAGCACCGCGGUUCAGCAGCUUCUUGCCACCCAUCAUACCUAGAAGAGCAGAAACAUCUGGCGGGCCAAAUUGAACAUUCUGGCAGACCAGCUUCGGCCCACAGGACCCACUUUGAUCUAGAUAAUUAUUGUUCUGUAACAAUGUCCCACUGAUUCUAACUCCACAAGCCAUUGUCUCCAGCUACGACCAGAACGGGGGUGCUUUGCCCCCACCGGGCUACAUUUCCUGCAUCCGUACCUUUUGGAUUGGCUUUCCAACAAAUACAUUUAGUUGCGUUUGCAGGAGGGAAGCCAACGAAGGUUGACAUCCUCAUUGCUGCACCAGUGACAAGGUAGCAGGUUGAAGGAUUUGCGGGAGAAAAGCAUGAACCUGCUGACCCAGUGACAAUGGCCAUAAGGGUUAAGUAUUCUGAAUGGGAAAAUAUGGGAAAUUAUGCACACACGAGCAAUAAAAAAACAAACUAUGUUACUUCAUAUUUUUAGUCAGAGGCUGGUAACAGGCUCAGGGGACGCAGCCAGUCUCAGUCUCCCUGUAGAUCUGGGCCUGAUUGUGACAAAUGAAACGAGACGAUGUUGAUGCAAAUAGCACAGACAGAUGCCGCAUGCAACUUGUGAAAUGGAAUAUCCUUGUAAUUGAAAACAUAAGUUAUAGCCUCUCUCGGCCCCUCUGGAUCCCAAGAAGCUGUUUCAUCAAAGGAAUCACGCUGCGGGAGAAGGGGACAUGGCUUUCGAAUGUUCUGACUGUUCCAAUCUAACAGAUUAAUGAGUCACACAGGCCUAUGCCAACUCUGCCCCGAGGAAAGGAGGACACGCGAUGCUCCAUAUCAAUAAAAAGACCUUUUCUCCGUCAUCAGA